rnacentral:rRNA from 1 species
UAGGGAAUCUUCCACAAUGGGCGCAAGCCUGAUGGAGCAACACCGCGUGAGUGAAGAAGGGUUUCGGCUCGUAAAGCUCUGUUGUUAAAGAAGAACACGUAUGAGAGUAACUGUUCAUACGUUGACGGUAUUUAACCAGAAAGUCACGGCUAACUACGUACCG